rnacentral:lncRNA from 1 species
UCAGAGUACUCUAGAAAUUUGACUCCCGAAAUAGUGAGUAACAUUACGAUCAUUUUAAUUAUCUAAAGUAUGUUCUUAUAAGGUUUUGGUGAAUUUUAUGAAAUUGAGUUCAAAUGGUAAAUUUUUAUGUUUUGUAAACAAAAUGUAUUUAAAUGAAAAGAUUUUAUAAAUUGCCUUGAAACAAAAUAAUGCUUUUAAAAAUAGAGUAAUUGGAGACCACCGGCAUGUUGUAAAUUUAUGAUUGAAAAUUGAUGGCUUAUGUAAAACCCGAUCCUAUAAACACAUGUCAUGACAUACAUGCACUGAGUAGCAUGUUAUUAUGCUAGGAAAGCAUCUAAGAAUAGAUGAAACCUGUUAUCGUACCUAACGGUACACUUGAGUUGAUUUAACCUCAAACUAGUUCAAAUAGGAAUUGUAGGAUGAAAUUUAAUAUUUUAUAGUCCAGGAAUGACUAAAAAUGAUUGUUCGGAGUUCAAGGGUUCAUUAGGGGUAAAAUUGAAAAUUUUGAUGUUCAGGGGCAAAAAUCAUCAUUUUUUCACCUAAGAUAAUAAUUUGAUCAUGGAGUGAAAUUUUUGAACAAGCUUAACUAUUUGGAGUAUAAUUUAAUGAUAGGCAGUGAAAAAGUUUAAUUCUGGUGAUUUUUGGAGUGUAGGGGUAAAAUCGUAAUUUUACCACCUGCGGACAAAAUUUGAGAUUAUGAGAGAAUUUAGAUCAAAUUUGACAAAUUGGAGAAUGGUAUGAGUAUAAGGGAUGAAAACUAUGUCUAUGGGCAAUUUUUCAAUUUUUUGGGAAAAAAUGUAAUUUUUCACUUUUACGGGGGCAAAAGUGUAAAUUUUUAAAAUUACUCCACCGAGACUUUGGAUAAAUCUGAGAAUUUUAUCUAAGCUAUGGAUACAUGGGACAAGUGUAUGGUGAAAAUUUGGAAACAAAUGGAUGAAAUUUAAAAAAUGGGCCAAUGGAAAAGUAACACAUGGUACUUUUUAAUGAUUUAAUAUUAUUUUAAUGAAAAGUCAGCCCAUUUAAACCCCAUUUUAAGUGAUGGCCGGCCAUAAGGGAGAACAAGAGAGAAAAUAGAGAGGAAAGGAAGAAAAAAGGAAAAACCAAAGAGAAACAAGAAAAUUCAAAGGGGAAUUCGCGUUUUUAACCCGUUUACGCGUCUAACGGUAAUAUUUUUCGACUUUAGCUUGAUUUCUACCUUUCCUAUGCCUUUGUUUCCAUUUAGCAUACUUGAGGAGAGAGAUCUAAAAGUGACAUCAAGGGCUGGCCGAAGUUCAAGGGGGGAGAAAUUGAAAUUUUUAGGUUUUGAUUUUUAGUUAAAUUGAUAGUUUUAGUUAGUUAAAUAUGUUUAGAAAUUAAAUUGGGCAAGAAAGCAUUCAAUUUUCACAAUACCCACCCUUGGCCGAAUCUGCAAUGAGGUACAAUGAUAAUGAUCUGAUUUUUAUUCUAAGAGAAAUGAAGAGAAAAUGAUGAAAAAUGGUUAAAUGUGAUAGAAAAACAAAGGAGAGAAUUUACCGAGUUAAUGUCCCAUUUUUGGCUGAAUUUUCCAAGGAGGAAAGUGAACUGAUUUUGGUGAUUUUAGAAGGUUAUUGCCUGAUAUUUAACGGUUAGAAAUGCUGGAGAGAGAAUGGGACGAUUUAGAGCUAAAAUGGAGCGCGUUAGCAAUUUAUCGGGUAAAGUGCCAAAAAUAGGUUAAUACCGCGUUUAAGCCGUUUUAGGCUAUUGCAUUUCAUACCAUGCAUUAGUAUAGGAUUUAAGUCAAUUAUAUAGUGAUUUAGCAUCAAUGUGGUGAAUUGGGUAAAUUUUGCAAUGUGUCUAGGAGGAGAGCCUUCCGGUAAAGGCAAGGAAGUCGUACUCGACCAACAGUGAUCUGAGCACCUAGGAAGCAUUUCAUCUGUACAAACGGUGAGUAAACCUAUUAUUAUUGUAAAUUAUCUAGAGUUUAUUUUUAAAUGCUCUUUAUGUAUUUUAUGAAACGAAAAUGAGAUUAAAACGGGAUUUUUGAUGUUUUAGAAAUAAAUGUGACAAAUAAAAAUAUAUUAUGUUGAUUAUGAAAUUGAGUAAUUUGAGGCUACCAAUUGUCUUGAAAAAUAUAUUUUCUUAUGAGUGGCUUAUGAUAUAUGAGUAUAUGUGGCUAUAUUUUCUAAUUGCAUUGGGAAUAGAAUGUAAGCUGUCUUUUACUAUGCGGGCUGGAUAAAUAAAUAAAAGCCACGUUAUACUGUCGAAAGUUUAUUAAAAUUGGUGGGUUUAGUCACUGCAGUGACGGGUUUCCGUAGGCUGCCUAUUAGAGGGGCAUAGUAAACCCGGUUUCAUUGUUACUCCGAUUGUAGAGGCGAGGAGGGUAACUCCCGGGGUAGUGUUCGAGUUCACUUCACGUCGAACCCCCACGUGAAUGUGUAACUCGACCAACGCCAAGGAACGGCUUGUUUUCAAAACUAGAAUGUGUUUAACAUGUAAAUAUCUUAACAACCUUGGCGGACUCGGUUAGAUGCCUAGCCAAGGAAUCCCAGAGGACUAGAUUUUGGCUUGAGCCAUGUUUUUAAUAAAAGUUAUAAGCCUUGACAACUGUUUUGGUAAAUUACAAAUGUUUUAUGGUUUAAGAAAGAAAUUGAAAACCUUAUGAAAUGGUUUAUGAUUUGUUGUUUAAACUUGCCUCCGUUUUACUGGCUUUUAGAUAUUUAUGAUAAUGUAUGUUUACUCAUCGGGAUUGCAAAAUCUCACCCACCUCCUUUCCAAAUAUUUCAGGCCUGUGGUAGCUUGUAGAUAGCUUAUUUUGUCAAGGAUUCCAGUUGACCUCUCUACCUCACAGACAGUAGGUUACUAUCACCAGUACUUGGUGUAUUCAUGGGCCACUUGUCAUUGUGAUUAUUAUUGUACAUUAUAACUUUGUAAAUUAUUGUAUGUAUGAAUUUAUUAUAUUCUCACGCUACAAAAAUUAUUUAUGUAUAGUUCUAUAAAAAUUGUUUUAUAAGAAAAUGAAAUAUAUUAUCAAAUAUUUUUAUUUAGUUUAAUUAGCUAACUUUUCACUAUAAAUGAAUGAUUUAGAUUACAAAAAUUUAUUUUUAAUCGGCAGUGGAUAUUUUUUUACCAUACGUUGUACCUUUAUCAGGUUUCGAAAUUUUUUGGUAAAAAUGACCAAAAUACCCCUAUGUGGCAAAAAUUUUAUUUUGAUUAUUUUCGAUCUAAAAUAGUUAUAUUUUCUUAAAACUUGAUAUUUAACAACAAUUGCUCACAAGAAAGGCAAGAAACUUAUUUGUUAGCCUUGCGGGGUUCCGAUUGGCAUUCCGGAUAAUGAGUGUCAAUCGGGACGUCGUGACGGUUGUCAUGGGCUCGAGGGAGGUUCCGGGUCGUGAAAGCUUAUGUUAUAUUAUUAUUGUGUUGGCAUGACUGGCUGGGCUAUGUUUUAUGAAUUGUAUGAAUUGUUUUAUUUUACUCUUGCAGGCUAGGUAGUAUUAUAUUAGCCCUGUCAUGUUGUUAAAAUUUUAUUAUAUGGUGGGUUUAGCUUGCUGCAGUAGGCAGAUUCUGUGGACCAGCCUAUUAGAGGGGCACAGAAUCCAGAUAUAUAUAUGUACCUCAGUUGGAGAGGCGCGUAGGGUAUCUCCUGAGGUAUGGACAGAGUUCACGUCACGUCGAACCACCUUGUGAUGAUGAACUCUGCUAACGCUAAGGAAUGGCUAUGUUUUUCAAACUAAAAAUGUGUUUACGUGUAUACGAACUUUUUAACAGCCUUGGCGGACUUGGUUAGAUGCCUCAACCAAGGUAUCCUCGAGAAUGAUUUUAGCAGGAGCCAAGGUUUUUAAGAUACUCAUAAGCCAUGUUGAAUAUUUAAAUGAAAAGAAUAUUUAUGUUAUGAAAUGCAUAUUGAGAUGAAAUAUUUUAAUUGUCUCUUUUUACUCGACUUUAGAUAUUUCGGAUGAUGUUUGUUUACUCACUGAGAUUAUAAAAUCUCACCACUCUCCUUUCCACCAAUUUCAAGUUCAGAUUAGGCUGUAGAUAGCUGAGUUCAUCGAGGACUACCCUUGGAUUUGCAUUCCUUCAAACUGUAGGUUCACAGUCCUCUUUACUUUUGGUUAUUCGGGGGCCCACUAGUCAUUGUAAAUUAAAUUAAAUACUCUGGUUUACUGUAUUACAGUAUGUAUGAAUUCACUUUGCUUUUACGCUACAAAAAUUAUCUACGUAUAACUCUAAAAAUAUUGUUUAAUAAGAAAAUAUAAUAUUUUACUUAAUAUUUAUUUUAUUUUCUUAUUAUAUCCAAAUAAUCAUAAUUUCAUUUUAAACGAAUGUUUUAGACAUCUAAAUUUUUUUUUGAUUUUGAAAUAUGUGUUCUGCACUUAUAUACUACAUUAUUGGCUAAUUUCAAAAUUUUAAAAAAAUGACCAAAAUACCCCUGUGAGAUGAAAAUUAAUAUUUUAUUUGUUUUAAGUUGGAAACAGCUUAAAAUCUUCUAAAACACGAAUGGUUGCUCACAAGGGAAAUGAGAUACUGAUAUUAAAGCCUUGCGGGAAAUGAGAUACUGAUAGUAAUGAGUAUCUACUGGGACACCGCGACGGUUGUCAUGGGGUCGAAGGGAGUACCGGGUCAUGAUAAGUCGAUUGGUAUCAGAGCUUUUGGUUUUAAAGAUAAGAGUUUUGGUUUUAAAGUGGUUUUAAAAAAAAAUUUACAGUAUCAGAGUGGCCUCGGAUUAAGUUAGGUUAGGUUGAAUAGAAUGCAUGCAUCUGCAUAUAGAGCCUAAGGUUCCCUAAACUUGCUCGUUUUCUCUUAUAGAUUAUUAUGCCUCCUCGACGCAGACGCCCACCUCUCAUUAGAUCAGUUGGGAGGGGAAGAGGUCGUUCCCAACGUCGUCAGUAAGAUGCAGUAGAGGAGGAAUCGACUGCAUCCACCAUUCGGGCAACACUUGCUGCUAAGCAGGUCGAGACUCUUCCACAUCCUCCACAUCCUCCGCCACCUACUGGUACUCAUGCCAUGUCUCAUGAGGUAGUCCAGGCAUUGGCAACUUUCCUUACCGCUAUUGCUGGCCAGGCUCAGGCUGGUCAGGCCCCUUUUAUAGUACCAUCAUGUAAAACCCGACCCUAUAAAUACAUGUCAUGACAUACAUGCAUUGAGUAGCAUGUUAUUACGCUAGAAAAGCACCUAAGAAUAGACGAAACCCGAUAUUGUACCUAACGGUACACUUAAAUUGAUUUAACGUCGAACUAGUUCAAAUAGGAAUUGUAGGAUGAAAUUUAAUAUUUUAUUGUCCAGGAAUGACUAAAAAUGAUUGUUCGGAGUUCGAGGGUUCAUUUGGGGUAAAAUUAGAAAUUUUGAUAUUCAAGGGCAAAAUCGUCAUUUUGCCACCUAAGAUAAUAAUUUGAUCAUGGAUGAAAUUUUUGAUCAAGNUCCGGGUCGUGACACAUUAGUUGCUCCUUCAGUACCACCACCCCCACCUCCUGUUCCACCACUAGUGCCGGAUGUCUCUAUUGCUAAGAAGUGGAAGAAAGCUAGGCAACUUGGUUGUGUUUCUUUUACGGGUGAGUAGGACCCAACCGUAGCCAAAGAUUGGAUUAAUCAGGUUUCAGAGAUGUUUUCUGAUAUGAGGUUGGAUGAUGACUUGAAAUUAAUGGUGGCCAAGAGAUUACUAGAGAAGAGAGCUCGCACAUGCUGGAAUUCAAUAAAAUCCCGUUCCACUACUCCUCCGACCUGGUCAGACUUCCUAAGAGAAUUUGAUUGUCAGUAUUUCACUUAUUUCCAUCAGAAAAAAAAAAAAGAGAAUUUUUGAGUUUGAAACAAGGGAAUUUAACUGUGGAGGAGUACGAAGCUCGUUUUAACGAGCUGAUGUUAUAUGUUCCGGAUUUGGUAAAAUCUGAGCAAGAUUAGGCCAAUUAUUUCGAGGAAGGGCUUCGUAAUGAGAUUAUAGAGCGAAUGACAGUGACUGGUAAGGAGACACAUAAGGAGGUCGUACAGAUCGCUUUACGGGCUAAGAAGCUUAUGAUUGAGAAUAGGAGGAUUCGGACUGAGUUUGUAAAAAGAAGAAAUUCGAGUUUAUCUUCAAGUCAGCCACCAAAAAGGGGCAAAGACUCAUCUAUUUCAGGGAGCACAACCUCUGUUUCAGUGACAUCUCCUUGACCUCCAUUUUCACAAACACAGUAGAGGCCUCAGAGAUUCAACAGAUCUGCGAUGACUGCUUCUUGGAAGGGUUUCAGAGGUUUUAAUAGAUGUAGGAGAUGUGGGAAGAAUCAUGUUGGGCCGUGUAAGGGACCAGUACGAUGUUAUCAUUGUGAUCUACCGGGCCACUUUAAGAGUGAGUGCCCACAGCUAAGACGGGCUACUACAACUGCUCCAUCUCCACCAGCUCGUACGGAUAUGCAGAGGAGAGAUCCUUCUGGGUUACCAUCGAGGCAGGGAGUGGCUAUACAAUCUGGUGCAGAGAGUAACACCGCGGCAUAUCCACCUUCGAGACCACAGACUUGUACUUUGACAAGAGUUUUCACUGUGACGAAAGAUGAGGCAUGGGUUCGACCUGGAGCAGUGACAGGUAUCAUGUCUUUAUUUGAUAAAAAUGCUUAUGUUUUGAUAGAUUCUGGCUCAGAUAGGUCUUAUGUGAGUACGACAUUUGCAUCAAUUACUGAUAGAAACCUGUAACCAUUAGAGGAGGAAAUUAUAGUGCAUACCCCUCUAGGAAAACAGUUGAUUAGAAAUACCCGUUAUAGAGACUGUGAGGUAAGGGUAGGUGAGGAAGAAUUUAGGGGUGAUUUGAUUCCUUUAGAGAUUCGAGAUUUUGAUUUAAUAUUGGGAAUGGACUGGUUAACUGCACAUCGGACGAACGUGGAUUGUUUUUGGGAAGAAGUUGUUCUUCGAAAUUCGGAGGGAGUAGAGAUUGUAUUUGCAAGGGAAUGUCAAGUAUUACCAUCCUGUGUAGUCUCGGCCAUCAAAGCUUUGAAAUUAGUGCAGAAAGGGUAUCCUGCUUAUUUGGCUCACGUGAUUAAUAUUUCAAAGGGGGAACCUAAAUUAGAUAAUGUCUUAAUAGUAAGUGAGUUUUCUGAUGUAUUUCCUGAUGAGUUACCAAGACUACCUCCUGAUCGAGAGCUUGAGUUCCCUAUUGAUUUACUUCCGGGUACUGCACCUAUUUUUAUCCUUCCAUAUAGAAUGGCUCCAGUAGAGUUGAAGGAACUGAAAGUCCAAUUGCAAGAUUUGGUGGAUAAAGGUUUCAUUUGCCCUAGCAUUUCUCCUUGGGGAGCACCAGUCCUAUUUGUAAAGAAGAAAGAUGCCACUCUUCGAUUGUAUAUCAAUUAUCGUCAGCUGAACCGAGUGACCAUCAAGAAUAAAUACCCUUUACCCUAGAUCGAUGAUCUUUUUGAUCAAUUACGAGGUGCUAUGGUGUUUUCAAAGAUUGAUUUGAGGUCUGGGUAUUAUCAGUUGAAGAUUAAGGAGCAAGAUGUACCCAAGACUGCUUUUAGGACGCGUUAUGGGCAUUAUGAGUUUCUAGUGAUGCCGUUUGGUUUGACUAAUGCCUCGACAGCUUUUAUGGAUCUUAUGAACAGGGUGUUCCAUCCAUAUUUAGAUAAGUUUGUGAUAGUGUUCAUAGAUGACAUCCUGGUUUAUUCAAAGAAUGAUGAUGAACAUGCUGCCCAUUUGCGCAUUAUGUUGCAAACUUUGCUCGAGAGACAACUCUAUGCCAAGUUCUCUAGAUGUGAUUUCUAGUUAAAGGAAGUGGUUUUCUUGGGACAUGUGGUGUCCGGAGCUGGAAUUUAUGUCGAUCCCAAGAAGAUUGAGGAAAUCUUACAAUGGAAGCAACCGAGAACGGUAACUAAGAUUCGUAGUUUCCUUGGCUUAGUCGGUUAUUAUCGAAGAUUUGUUCAGGGAUUUUCUUUGAUAGCAGCUCCUCUGACUCGUUUGACUCGUAAAGGAGUUAAGUUUGAGUGGGAUGAUGUUUGUGAGAAUCAAUUUCAGGAACUAAAGAACCGGUUAACCUCCGCUCCCGUUUUAACACUUCCUGUUAAUGGAAAAGAAUUUGUGGUAUACAUUGAUGCAUGUAAGUUGGGAUUAGGGUGUGUAUUAAUGCAGGAUGAGAAAGUAAUAGCUUAUGCUUCCCGGCAGUUAAAGAAGCACGAGACGAAUUACCCUACUCAUGACUUGGAGUUAACAGCAGUAGUUUUCGCAUUGAAGAUUUGGAGACAUUAUUUAUAUGGUGAGCAUUGUCGAAUUUUUACUGAUCAUAAGAGUUUGAAAUAUUUGCUCACCCAGAAAGAGCUUAACUUGAGACAGAGACGAUGGUUGGAGUUGAUUAGGGAUUACGACUUGGUACUUGAUUAUCAUCCUGGAAAGGCAUAUGUUGUAGCGAAUGCUCUAAGUCGUAAAUCCUCAUCUUCAUUAGCUAUACUUCGGAGUUCUUAUUUUUUGAUGUUACUUGAGAUGAAGUCUCUAGGGAUCCAGUUGAAUAAUAAUGAGGAUGGAACCCUACUUGCUAGUUUCGUUGUGAGACCUUUAUUGUUGAAUCAAAUCAGAGAAUUGUAGAAAUCUAAUGAUUGGUUGAAACAGGAAGUUUAAAAGCUACAAGAUGGAGAAAUUAGUGAGUUUAAACUCAAUGAUGAUGGUACCUUGAUGCUUAGAGACCAGAUUUAUGUUCUUAAGGAUGACCAGUUGAGAUGAGCUAUUUUGGAGGAAGCUCAUUCUUCCGCCUAUGCUUUACAUCCCAGAAACACCAAGAUGUAUCGGACUAUUAAAGAAAAUUAUUGGUGGUCGGGUAUGAAACGAGACAUAGCAAAGUUUGUAGCAAAAUGUCUCACAUGCCAACAGAUUAAGGCGAAACAUCAAAAACCAUCAGGUACUCUUUAGCCUUUAUCGAUUCUUGAAUGGAAGUAGGAACACGUGACUAUGGACUUUGUAUUGGGUUUGCCGCAGACACAAAGUGGGAAGGAUUCUAUUUGGGUGAUUGUGGAUAGAUUGACUAAGUCCGCCUAUUUUUUGGCUAUCCAUAGCACGUAUUCUAUUGAGAUACUGGUGAAACUUUAUAUAGACGAGAUUGUGAGAUUACACGGAGUUCCAGUUUCUAUUGUGUCAGAUCGAGACCCUCGAUUUACUUCUCGAUUUUGGCUAAAAUUUUAGGAAGCUCGUGGAACUAAAUUGAGAUUUAGUACUGCCUUUCAUCCGCAGACUGAUGGUCAAUCUGAAAUGACUAUUCAGACUCUAGAAGAUAUGUUACGGGCUUGUGUCAUUGACUUCAUUGGGAGUUAGGACAGACACUUGCCAUUGGUGGAGUUCGCGUAUAAUAACAGUUUUCAGUCUAGUAUUGGGAUGGCACCCUACGAGGCUUUGUAUGGAAGGAAGUGCCAAACUCCUCUCUGUUGGGAUGAAGUGGGCGAGAGGAAAUUGGUUAAUGUGGAAUUGAUUGAUCUGACAAAUGACAAGAUCAAGGUUAUCAGAGAGCGAUUAAAGACAGCUUAAAAUAGGUAAAAGAGUUAUUCUGAUAGACGGAGGAAAGAUUUAGAGUUUAAAGUGGAUGAUAAAGUUUUUCUUAAGGUUUCUCCUUGGAAAGGUAAUAAUUUGAAAAUCUCAAGUAUUAAAUCUUAUUUGAUUAUACUAUUGUGAUAAUUUAUGGUAUUUAUUGGAUAAUGAAAGGUGUAAUUCAAUUUGCGAAGAGGGGAAAGCUCAAUCCAAGAUACAUUGGACCCUUUCGUAUCAUUGAAAUGAUUGGGCCAGUGGCUUACAGACUUGAAUUACCCCUGGAGUUAGAUCGGAUUCAUAAUGUCUUCCAUGUCUCAAUGUUGAAAAAGUAUGUUUCUGAUCCCUCUCACAUUCUAGAGACACCUCCCAUUGAGUUGCAUGAAGAUUUGAAGUUCGAGGUGCAGCCUGUACGUAUUCUAGAUCGAAAGGAUCGAGUGCUAAGGAACAAGAGUAUUCCAAUGGUGAAAGUAUUGUGGAAAAAUGCUCGAAUGGAAGAGAUGACGUGGGAAGUCGAGCGCUAGAUGAGAAAACAAUAUCCACAUCUUUUCUUAGAAUCCGGUAAGUGAAAUUUUGAGGUCAAAAUUUUAUUUUUAAGGGGGGUAGUGCUGUAAAGCCUAACCUUAUAAAAUGCUUGUCAUGACAUACAUGUGAUGAUAGCAUGAUUGUAUGCUAAGAGAGUCCCAAAAAAUUUACAAAAGUAGGUAUUGUACCUAGAGGUACAACAAAGAUGAUUUAAGCCUCGAACCAGAUCAAAUAGGAAUUUUAAGGUGAGAUUAAGAGCUUCACAAUCCAUGGAUGACUCAAAAUGGUAAUUCGGAGUUUGAGGAUCAAUUUGGAGUCAAACCAGAAUUUUCACUGCCAGAGACAAAAUGGUCAUUUGCCACCUAGGGACAAAAUGAAAAUUUUUAGAAAAGAUGUUUUUUGCCCCAUUUGACCUAUUGGAGUAUGAUUUGAGCAUAGGAGUAUGAUUUGAGGUUGAAAAGUGAAAAAAAAAAUUGUGAUUUCGGUAUUUUUUGGAGCAAAGGGUAAAAUGGUAAUUUUGCCAUUUCAGGGGCAAAAUUACCAUUUUACACACCCGACACUUGUCCAGCACAUGGAUUUUAUCCAAUUUUAUCAUGGAUAAUUGAAGGGAUUUAUAUGGUGGAGAGAGAAAGCUUAAUAGUUAAGAAAUAAAAAUGGGCCAAUGAAAUGGUGACACAUGGCAUGUUAAUAUCCAUUUACUUUUUUUAGCUUUAAAAUCAACAAAAAUAAGCAUAUUUUCUUCAUUAUGGCCGGCCAAAGCAUGAAGUGAAGAAGAACAAAGAAAGAACAAAACCUAGGUGGGAAAAUUGAAGAAAAAGUGUGGGAUUUCAAGGUAUUAAGCUAAUAAAGGUAAAUUUUUGUGAUUUUAUCUUGUGGUUUACACUACCUAUGCUUUCUUUUUCAUUUUCCAUGCUUAGAACUCAAGUUUUCAUGGUGAAUUCAUGCCUGACCAAAUGGGUAUGGAGAGAGAACGAAGUUGGAUUGAUUUGAUUCUAAGUUAUGUUAGUGUUUUUAGUUAGUUUAGCAUAUUUAGAAACAAAACAACAAGAAAAAAAAUUCAUUUUCUCCCAUUACCCAUAAGAGGCCGAAUUUUCUAGGGAGGAUAUUGAGGCUGAAAUUGAUGAUAUUUCAUGAUAUUUUGGUGAUAUUUAAUGAUUGGUGAGGCUAGAAAUUUAAUAGAAAAUUUUGGCAUGAAAAUCUGAAUUUUGACCUAAUGUAUAGACAUGUGCGAUUUAUCAUUCAGACUGAUAAAUUGAAUCAAAUUGUGAGACCUUGUCAAGCUCGAUUAAAAGACAAUAUUGUACUGAGUGGUACAACUAAGUUAAAUUGAACCUUCAACUAGUUCAAAUAGGAAUUCUAAGAGGAAAUUGAAAAUUUUGAAACCCACAGAAUAGCUUAGAAUAGUGAUUCGGAGUUCAAGGUUCAGUUUCGAGUCCAUCAGGAAAAUUGAUCGAUUAGGGACAAAACGGUUAUUUUAGCAUUUGAUAAUAAAAUGGAGAUUUUUAGCCAAGAUUUUAUCACAUUUGACCAAGAAUAAUUAUAUGAAAUAUAAUUAUGAUUAUUGGAGUAUAAAAUGAUGUUUAGUAGUGAAAAAUUAUGAUUCUCGGUAUUUUUGGAGCACAAGGGUAAAAUGGUAAUUUUGUCACUAAAGGACUAAACGAUAAUUUUUAUAAAAUGAUUUUUGCCCCAUUUAGUUAAUAUUGAUCAAUAUUAGUGUUAUUUGAGGUUGAAAAGUAGAAAUAAUGUGAUUCCGGUACAUUUCGAAGUAUAGGGGCAAAAUCGUAAUUUUUUCAUCUCGGGGGCAAAUCGGUAAAUUUUUCGUCCCAACACUUGUCAAGACCAAGGGAUUUUAAUUGUGGUAGGAUUGGAUAAAUACCAGAAUAUUUGUGGUGGAAAAUUAAGAAGAAAAAGUUAAAAAGUUAAAAAAAUUGGGCCAAUAAGCAUGUGACACGUGGCAUGCUUAAUUAUUUUAUUAUUUUCUAUAGAAAUCAGCCCAUUAAAUCCCCAAUUCUCUCACCAUAAUCAGCCUAGGCAACCAGCAACAAGAGCAAAGGAAGAACAAAGGGAAAAACAANGAAGAGGGGAAAGCUCAAUCCAAGAUACAUUGGACCCUUUCGUAUCAUUGAAAUGAUUGGGCCAGUGGCUUACAGACUUGAAUUACCCCUGGAGUUAGAUCGGAUUCAUAAUGUCUUCCAUGUCUCAAUGUUGAAAAAGUAUGUUUCUGAUCCCUCUCACAUUCUAGAGACACCUCCCAUUGAGUUGCAUGAAGAUUUGAAGUUCGAGGUGCAGCCUGUACGUAUUCUAGAUCGAAAGGAUCGAGUGCUAAGGAACAAGAGUAUUCCAAUGGUGAAAGUAUUGUGGAAAAAUGCUCGAAUGGAAGAGAUGACGUGGGAAGUCGAGCGCUAGAUGAGAAAACAAUAUCCACAUCUUUUCUUAGAAUCCGGUAAGUGAAAUUUUGAGGUCAAAAUUUUAUUUUUAAGGGGGGUAGUGCUGUAAAGCCUAACCUUAUAAAAUGCUUGUCAUGACAUACAUGUGAUGAUAGCAUGAUUGUAUGCUAAGAGAGUCCCAAAAAAUUUACAAAAGUAGGUAUUGUACCUAGAGGUACAACAAAGAUGAUUUAAGCCUCGAACCAGAUCAAAUAGGAAUUUUAAGGUGAGAUUAAGAGCUUCACAAUCCAUGGAUGACUCAAAAUGGUAAUUCGGAGUUUGAGGAUCAAUUUGGAGUCAAACCAGAAUUUUCACUGCCAGAGACAAAAUGGUCAUUUGCCACCUAGGGACAAAAUGAAAAUUUUUAGAAAAGAUGUUUUUUGCCCCAUUUGACCUAUUGGAGUAUGAUUUGAGCAUAGGAGUAUGAUUUGAGGUUGAAAAGUGAAAAAAAAAAUUGUGAUUUCGGUAUUUUUUGGAGCAAAGGGUAAAAUGGUAAUUUUGCCAUUUCAGGGGCAAAAUUACCAUUUUACACACCCGACACUUGUCCAGCACAUGGAUUUUAUCCAAUUUUAUCAUGGAUAAUUGAAGGGAUUUAUAUGGUGGAGAGAGAAAGCUUAAUAGUUAAGAAAUAAAAAUGGGCCAAUGAAAUGGUGACACAUGGCAUGUUAAUAUCCAUUUACUUUUUUUAGCUUUAAAAUCAACAAAAAUAAGCAUAUUUUCUUCAUUAUGGCCGGCCAAAGCAUGAAGUGAAGAAGAACAAAGAAAGAACAAAACCUAGGUGGGAAAAUUGAAGAAAAAGUGUGGGAUUUCAAGGUAUUAAGCUAAUAAAGGUAAAUUUUUGUGAUUUUAUCUUGUGGUUUACACUACCUAUGCUUUCUUUUUCAUUUUCCAUGCUUAGAACUCAAGUUUUCAUGGUGAAUUCAUGCCUGACCAAAUGGGUAUGGAGAGAGAACGAAGUUGGAUUGAUUUGAUUCUAAGUUAUGUUAGUGUUUUUAGUUAGUUUAGCAUAUUUAGAAACAAAACAACAAGAAAAAAAAUUCAUUUUCUCCCAUUACCCAUAAGAGGCCGAAUUUUCUAGGGAGGAUAUUGAGGCUGAAAUUGAUGAUAUUUCAUGAUAUUUUGGUGAUAUUUAAUGAUUGGUGAGGCUAGAAAUUUAAUAGAAAAUUUUGGCAUGAAAAUCUGAAUUUUGACCUAAUGUAUAGACAUGUGCGAUUUAUCAUUCAGACUGAUAAAUUGAAUCAAAUUGUGAGACCUUGUCAAGCUCGAUUAAAAGACAAUAUUGUACUGAGUGGUACAACUAAGUUAAAUUGAACCUUCAACUAGUUCAAAUAGGAAUUCUAAGAGGAAAUUGAAAAUUUUGAAACCCACAGAAUAGCUUAGAAUAGUGAUUCGGAGUUCAAGGUUCAGUUUCGAGUCCAUCAGGAAAAUUGAUCGAUUAGGGACAAAACGGUUAUUUUAGCAUUUGAUAAUAAAAUGGAGAUUUUUAGCCAAGAUUUUAUCACAUUUGACCAAGAAUAAUUAUAUGAAAUAUAAUUAUGAUUAUUGGAGUAUAAAAUGAUGUUUAGUAGUGAAAAAUUAUGAUUCUCGGUAUUUUUGGAGCACAAGGGUAAAAUGGUAAUUUUGUCACUAAAGGACUAAACGAUAAUUUUUAUAAAAUGAUUUUUGCCCCAUUUAGUUAAUAUUGAUCAAUAUUAGUGUUAUUUGAGGUUGAAAAGUAGAAAUAAUGUGAUUCCGGUACAUUUCGAAGUAUAGGGGCAAAAUCGUAAUUUUUUCAUCUCGGGGGCAAAUCGGUAAAUUUUUCGUCCCAACACUUGUCAAGACCAAGGGAUUUUAAUUGUGGUAGGAUUGGAUAAAUACCAGAAUAUUUGUGGUGGAAAAUUAAGAAGAAAAAGUUAAAAAGUUAAAAAAAUUGGGCCAAUAAGCAUGUGACACGUGGCAUGCUUAAUUAUUUUAUUAUUUUCUAUAGAAAUCAGCCCAUUAAAUCCCCAAUUCUCUCACCAUAAUCAGCCUAGGCAACCAGCAACAAGAGCAAAGGAAGAACAAAGGGAAAAACAAGAAAACCUAGGUGAAAAUUCAAAGAAAAAGUGAAGAAAUCAAGGAAACAAGCUAGGUAAGUUAGAAUUUCUUUAAUUCUCCUUGAUACCUAGCUUAUCCAUGCUUUUGUUCUUGAUUUCGAUGGUUGAAUAUUGAGUUAUCAUGAUGAAUUCAAUUCUGAAAAAUGGUUAUGGAAGAGGAAUUGUUGUUGGAAUAAUUUGAUUUUAGACUAAGUUAGUGUUUAGGGAUAGUUAAGCAUGGUUAUGAACAAAAACACAAAAGAAAUAUUCAAUUUCUCUAGGGUUCCUUGUUGGUCGAACCAUGAGGGCUGAAUAUCAAUGGGGGAUUGUUUUUAUUUCAAGGAAAAUGGCUUGGAAAAUGAUGAAUUAAGGUGAAACAGUUAUGUAGAAAAAAUUUUGGUGCUAGUUCACCAAAUGACCGAAUUUUUUUAUAAGGAACUGUGAGGGUUCUAAUGCUGAAUUUGGCUUUAUUUAAAUGGUAUGUGGUAAAUGAAGGUAUUAGAGGAGAAAUGGAUUAAUUUGGAGGUGAUUUGGACACAAUCUCCAAUUAAUCGAUGAUUGGUCAAAUUUAAUCGAUACCGCGAUUAAGCGGUAAUCGAACGUAUUUUUGCAUUUACAUAUCAAGCAUUAGUAAUUUAAAUUAGUUUAUAUCAAUUUAGGGACAAUAUAGUAAAUUCCUUGACUUUGUUAUUUGUCAAGGUAGUGAGAUGUCUAAAAAAGGCAAAGGAAUUGCGCUUGAGGACUAUUAGUUUGAGUGCACCCAAAAUCCGGAUUUUCGAUAUGGGUGAUUGGACUUGCAUUUCAAACUUGUUGUGGGGAAUAUGAAAGAUUCUAUCCAACUUGUCUUAGAAAAUGUACCUUGGGAACAAGCUUUUGUUAAAUGGUUUGAUGUUGUGAUAUGUGAUUACUAUGGAUUCAUGCAUUAUUGCAAUAUGAUGAUAUAUAUAUGUGUGUGUUGUGCAUGAUAAAUGUUAUUGUGUAUAAUGACUAUAACCGUGUGUGUGGACGAUGUGGGAAGAAUUAAGUUGGUUUUACCUGAUCUUUGGGAACUCUAACAUGUGAACAGGGGUGAAGCGUGGCUCUCUGCCCAGGGGCUUAUAAAGGAAAAGGCUACCCAAAGAGGUGGAGCUGCCCUAUGAGUGCUUUGAUAGGUACUGUUUGUCGCCUCCAUAGUGAAGGGGUUGAGUGGUAUGUCCCUCCCUAGUGACAAACUUGGUAUCAGAUUCCCAUUUUAUGGUGGUGUGAAAGGUGGAUGAUGAUAGUGCCCGUGUGCACGAUGUGGGGGGAUGUACACGGUGGCACUGAUUGUGCACGAUGCAGGGGGAAGGACACGAUGUGCCGGCUAUGUGCACGAUGUGGGUGUGAUUAUGAUGAUAUUGAUGUUUGUCUAUCUAAUUAUGCAUAUCUAGACUUAUGAAAUGAAAGCUCAUAAAUGUGAUAUAUGGUUGACAUAUAUAUGAAAUUUGAUACUUUGCACUUUGGGAAUUUUCAUGAGUUUUUUGUUGAUUUUGUUGGUUUAGUAGGGUGGCCUUUUUGUUGAGUGAAGGGAAACUUUUCCCUUGUUGCUCUGUUUCGCUGCAGCGAGAAACUCUCGAGUCUGAGGGCCUUCACCAGAACUGGUUCUCGCUACAGCGAAAAACUUUCUAUCCAUUUUGCUAACUUGUGGGUUUUUGCCAUAUUUCCCAUUUCUUUGGUACCAUAGUUGAGCAUGGAUUUUUGUAAAGUGAUUUACUCAUGUGGGGUUUACAUGAGGGGUUUAAAGGAGCUAAAACAAUUGCAUGGUUUUGAGAAAAUGAAUGCAUCAUGAUUUCGAUAAACAUUCCUUAUGGUAUGCUUGUUCCCUUCUUGUUCACUCACUGAGUAUUGUACUCACGUUUUAUAAAAAAUUCAUGUUUUCAGAUCAAGUGACUGUUGGACCCUAGAUCGAGGAGUGCCCGUAGUGUAUCUCCUGGGUAUGUGUCUGGCAUUCGAUAGUAAUCCCUUUUAUUGUAAAUGUCUCCGCUGGAAGUCAUGGGUCCUUUUGUAUUGUGAAUACAAUCUAAUAAUGUGAAUAUGUGUAUUCAAUGUAAAUUGCUAAAUACAUGACUGGUAUAGUGCAUGUAUGUUAUUAUCGAUAAUGCCAUUGUGUUUUGGCUAUGUUCACACUUGGGAAAAGGUGUGUGUGUAUGCAUGAUAUGAUAAAUUUGUUAAGCAAAGGUAAAUGGAUAGGCUUGCUUGGGCUUAGUGAGCUAUGCUCAUUGAGCUCAUGCGUCGGUCAUGGCCCGAAAAAAUUGGGUCGUGACACAUAUUCAUAGUCAUUGAGGUGUUUUAAGUAUAAUUGGAGUGUAGAAAGUGAAAGAAAUCGAUUUGGAGUUAAAUUGGAGGUUUUAGCCAAUUAGACCGAGAAUAGUGCGAAUUAGGUCGAAUACCGUAUUUAAAUGGCUAUUCGGACAUUUUUGCAUUCCAUAUCAUCCAUUAGUAGUCUAAAUUAGUUUAAUUUCGAUUUAGUACCAAUGUAGUAACUUUCUUGAUUUUGUACUAUGUCUAGGUGGUGAAUCCUUCGAUAAAAGCAAGGAAAUUGUACCCGAGGAUCAGUAGUCAGAGUACUCUAGAAACUUGACUCCCGAAAUAGUGAGUAACCUUACUAUCAUUUUAAUUAUCUAAAGUAUGUUUUUAUAAGGUUUUGGUGAAUUUUAUGAAAAUGAGUUCAAAUGGUAAGUUUUUAUGUUUUGUAAACAAAAUGUGUUUAAAUGAAAAGAUUUUAUAAAUUGUCUUGAAACGAAAUAAUGCUUUUAAAAAUAGAGUAAUUGGAGACCACUGGUAUGUUGUAAAUUUAUGAUUGAAAAUUGAUGGCUUAUGUUAUAUUGUUAUUGUGUUGGCAUGACUGGCUAGGCUGUAUUUUAUGAGUUGUAUGAAUUGUUUUAUGUUACCCUUGCAGGCUGGGUAGUAUUAUAUUAGCCCUGUCAUGCUGUUAAAAUUUUAUUAUAUGGUGGGUUUAGCUUGCUGCAGUAGGCAGAUUCUGUGGACCAGCCUAUUAGAGGGGCACGGAACCCGGAUAUAUAUAUAUGUACCUUGGUCGGAGAGGCGCGUAAAGUAUCUCUUGAGGUAUCGAUAGAGUUCACGUCACGCUGAACCACCUCAUGAUGAUGAACUACGCUAACGCUAAGGAAUGGCUGUGUUUUUCAAACUAAAAAUAUGUUUACGUGUAUAUGAACUUUUUAACAGCCUUGGCGGACUUGGUUAGAUGCCUUGACCAAGGUAUCCCUGAGAAUGAUUUUGGCAAGAGCCAAACUUUUUAAGAUACUCAUAAGCCAUGUUGAAUAUUUAAAUGAAAUGAAUAUUUAUGUUAUGAAAUACAUAUUGAGAUGAAAUAUUUUAAUUGUCUCCUUUUACUCGACUUUAGAUAUUUCGGAUGAUGUUUGUUUACUCACUGUGAUUAUAAAAUCUCACCACUCUUCUUUCCACCCAUUUCAGGUUCAGAUUAGGCUGUAGAUAGCUGAGUUCAUCGAGGACUACCCUUGGAUUUGCAUUCCUUCAAACUGUAGGUUCACAGUCCUCUUUACUUUUGGUUAUUCGGGGGCCCACUGGUCAUUGUAAAUUAAAUUAAAUACUCUGGUUUACUGUAUUACAGUAUGUAUGAAUUUACUUUGCUUUUACGCUACAAAAAUUAUCUACGUAUAACUCUGAAAAUAUUGUUUAAUAAGAAAAUAGAAUAUUUUACUUAAUAUUUAUUUUAUUUUCUUAUUAUAUCCAAAUAAUCAUAAUUUCGUUUUAAACGAAUGUUUU